GUGCUUCAGCAGCACAUACACUAAAAUUGGAAUGAUACAGAGAUUAGCAUGGCCCCCUGCACAAGAAUGACACAAACAUUUGUGAAGCCUUUCAUAUUUAA
ensembl:snRNA U6 U6 spliceosomal RNA